AUAUCUGGCGGAAUGCCCUCUCCGUAAAUCAUCAUCCAGUUCAGAUCAAACCCUGCCUACCUGUGCUUCAGCUUCAAAAUGGUGAGGUAGGGGAUCACAACGGAUUGGAGAAAAGAGAUAGCAAAAUUUUUCAUGGACUGAAUCCCACAUCCUUUGUUUCGGAAACCAAUCGGUCAAUUGAUUCACAUUGACCAACACUGGUGUUUGACGCCAAAAUCCGGAAAUUUUUGAUACACGGAUGGGAUGAAUCAAUGAGACGAUGUACUCGCGACCUUCAAAAGUCCUCGUCCGCCAGUCGCCCGUCUUUUUUAUCGCCCUCGCUUUCCUUAUGACUCUCCUCUGGCAGAGACAGAUGGCCGACAAUCAUGGCUUUGUAGCCAACCCUUGGAACAGACACGCAUCCAUACAACAUUCCUCAGCUCUUCCAAACCUUUUUCCAGGGUCCUCCAAACCACCCGGCUCCAACCACUCAAGGGCCCUGAUCAUCCCUCGGCUGCAACGGGAAGAUGCCGACUGGGUUUCCACCCAGCUCGCUGAUGUAGAAGCUUUCGUCUAUGUCGUUGACGACCCCCACGCCCCUCUCCACCCGCCCCUCAACAAGGGUCACGAAGCAAUGGUCUACCUCACCUACCUCAUUGACCACUACGACAACCUCCCGGACAUCAUGAUAUUCAUGCAUUCUCACCGGAUCGGCUGGCACAACGAGCACGCACUCGCCAUGGACGCCGUCGCGCACAUCAACAGGCUGAGCAGCGAACGCGUGACGCGGGAGGGCUACAUGAAUCUGCGCUGCAACUGGGACCCCGGCUGUCCGGCCUGGUUGCACCCGGGCAAGACGGAAGCAGACACGGGCAAGCCGGAGGAAGCCAACCUCGCGACAGCGUGGAGGGCACUGUUCUCGAGCAUCGAGGUCCCCGAAGUCCUUGCGCAGGCGUGCUGUGCCCAGUUCGCCGUCUCGCGCGCCCGCGCCCGCGCCAUCCCGCGGGAUAGAUAUGUUUUCUACCGUGACUGGAUCCUGCGCACGGAGCUGAGCGACUCGAUCUCUGGCCGCGUGUGGGAGUAUCUCUGGCAGGUGCUGUUCGCGGGCCAGACGGUCUUCUGCCCCGCGAAGCAUGCGUGUUACUGUGACGGGUACGGGUUAUGUUUCGGCGGCGCCGAAGGGGUAGAUGAGUAUCUCGGCCUCCUGAGACGUGAGGAAGGCUUGAAGAAGGACCUAGAGAAAUGGCGCAGGCUGGCGGGUGCGGUUGCGGAUGCGGAAAGAGAGGGCAAGUCGCGCAAGGAGAUCGAGGACAUGGAGCAGCCUGAGUUGGGGAAGGGAGCACUUCUGGAGGCUCAGCUAGAGGCCGCAAAGCAAGAG
rnacentral:sRNA from 1 species